rnacentral:lncRNA from 1 species
GAGCUGCUGAAGUCCUCCCCGCUGCAGAGGACCGAGAGGCAGGGCCCGGGAGAGAACAGCCCGGUCGGAGGGGGUGGGCCGUCAGCCGCCCCGGAAAGCUGCGUUUCCCGGUGAUUAAGUGUAGCACCCGCCCCCGGUAGGUCCUGAGAGGGGCGAGAUUAGUUGGGUACUUACCAUGUGGGCCUGGCACUUGCCCACAUCACUUUGUGUCUUCCCACCGGCCCUGCGAGGGUGGGGGUUGCCGUCCUCAGUUUCCAGGCGGGGGAAACGGGCUGGAAGCGUCACUCAGCUAAUAGUAGUGGACCUGGGACUGGAACUCAGAUUUGCUAAGGAACCAGGCAGGUUCUUUCCUGUUUUCUGCACGGGAGCAUUUUAACCAGCAAUUAAAGAAACCUUAUUUCUAGGUAAUUUUUAAAAGAGAUAAAUGUGGAUAUAUACAUGAACUCUUUUAUCAGAUAACGCCGCUGUUCCUGGCCUCGGACUAAGUGACACAGUGGUGAGGGGAGAGUUAGAUUGGAGAAGUUUGGCCGGUGCAAAACUCCUGCUCUAAAAUAUAAAAAAUCUC